rnacentral:ncRNA from 2 species
UAUGAUUUUCAGGGCAGGUUCAAUUCCUGACCGGCGGUAAAGCCCGCGACUCGUCAAGCAGCGCCUUCAGGGUGUCAAGGCGACUGAAUCGGUGAAACUCCGAUGCCGACGGUAUAGUCCGGAUGAAAGAAGAUCGAC